AUUGAACGCUGGCGGCAGGCCUAACACAUGCAAGUCGAACGCGUGGCGGACGGGUGAGUAAUGUAUGGGAAACUGCCUGAUGGAGGGGGAUAACUACUGGAAACGGUAGCUAAUACCGCAUACCCUCAGAUGUGCCCAGAUGGGAUUAGCUUGUUGGUGGGGUAACGGCACACCAAGGCGACGAUCCCUAGCUGGUCUGAGAGGAGGAACAGCCACACUGGAACGGAGCCACGGCACAGACUCCUACGGUAGGCGGCAGAGGGGAAUAGUGCACAAGGGACUCAAGCCUGAUGCGGCCAUGCCGCGUAUAUGAAGAGAGCCUGCGUGUUUUAAAGUUCUUUCAGUUGGGUGGCGGUACCCGCUGAAGAAGCACCGGCUAACUCCGUGCCAGCAGCCGCGGUAAUUC
rnacentral:rRNA from 1 species